rnacentral:rRNA from 1 species
AUGAACGCUGGCGGCGUGCCUAAUACAUGCAAGUCGAGCGAACAGACGAGGAGCUUGCUCCUCUGACGUUAGCGGCGGACGGGUGAGUAACACGUGGAUAACCUACCUAUAAGCCUGGGAUAACUUCGGGAAACCGGAGCUAAUACCGGAUAAUAUAUUGAACCGCAUGGUUCCAUAGUGAAAGACGGUUUUGCUGUCACUUAUAGAUGGAUCCGCGCCGCAUUAGCUAGUUGGUAGGGUAACGGCUUACCAAGGCAACGAUGCGUAGCCGACCUGAGAGGGUGAUCGGCCACACUGGAACUGAGACACGGUCCAGACUCCUACGGGAGGCAGCAGUAGGGAAUCUUCCGCAAUGGGCGAAAGCCUGACGGAGCAACGCCGCGUGAGUGAUGAAGGUCUUCGGAUCGUAAAACUCUGUUAUUAGGGAAGAACAAAUGUGUAAGUAACUAUGCACGUCUUGACGGUACCUAAUCAGAAAGCCACGGCUAACUACGUG